UCGGACGGCAACAAGAGAGUGGGGCCCCCGCUCAGAACACACGGAAAAAACAAAGGCCAAAGUCCAAAGUGGGACUGUAUAUCUACACGAAGCUGCGUGGAAAUUUCCACCACCAUCCCCCCGACCCCACGUACACGUGUCCCCAUAUCCACCUUUCACAGAUUGAUUUUCUCCCGUUGACCCAGUCAACCCCCGCUGCUCUAUAAGAGACAAGGCCCACCAGCCCCUGCUUCUUCACCAUCUCCUCUAGAGCUCUUCAAUCCCAAACUUCUCCCUGAGGCAAGGAAGAUCAGCUCUCUUCUGGCUCGAACAAGAUUGAGGAACCUCAAUCUUGUUCUUCCCUCAGUGUUCUUCGGACACAGAUCCACGUAAAAACCCUGAAGGGCAAGACCGUGAUCAUCGAAGUCGAGAGCUCUGCGACGGUCCACAACGUGAAGGUCCAAAUACAGGACCGAGAAGGCAUUCCCAUGGAUCAGCAGAAGCUGAUCUUCGGGGGCAAGGAGCUCAAGAACGGCGUCCAGACGCUCGCCGAGUACGAUGUUCACAACGAGUCCGUGCUCCACCUCGAUCUCCGCCGAAAGGGCAAGAGAA